rnacentral:rRNA from 1 species
AUAUUGGGCAAUGGACGCAAGUCUGACCCAGCAACGCCGCGUGAAGGAAGAAGGCUUUCGGGUUGUAAACUUCUUUUAAGGGGGAAGAGCAGAAGACGGUACCACUCGAAUAAGCCACGGCUACCUACGUGACAGCAGCCGCGGUAAUACGUAGGUGGCAAGCGUUGUCCGGAUUUACUGGGUGUAAAGGGCGUGGAGCCGGAGAGACAAGUCAGAUGUGAAAUCCACGGGCUCAACCCGUGAACUGCAUUUGAAACUGUUUCCCUUGAGUGUCGGAGAGGUAAUCGGAAUUCCUUGUGUAGCGGUGGAAUGCGUAGAUAUAAGGAAGAACACCAGUGGCGAAGGCGGAUUACUGGACGAUAACUGACGGUGAGGCGCGAAAGCGUGGGGAGCAAACAG